rnacentral:tRNA from 1 species
AAAAAGUUAGUUUAAGUAAAACAUUAGUUUGUCAAACUAAAAAUAUUAAUUUAAUACUUUUUA